rnacentral:rRNA from 1 species
CAAGUCGAGCGAGGAAAUUGCUUCGGUAAUUUCCUAGCGGCGGACGGGUGAGUAACACGUGGGCAACCUGCCUGAUAGAGGGGGAUAGCCUCCCGAAAGGGAGAUUAAUACCGCAUAAAGUCAAAUGAAGGCAUCUUCAAAUGACCAAAGGAGUAAUCCGCUAUCAGAUGGGCCCGCGGCGCAUUAGCUAGUUGGUGAGGUAACGGCUCACCAAGGCGACGAUGCGUAGCCGACCUGAGAGGGUGAUCGGCCACAUUGGGACUGAGACACGGCCCAGACUCCUACGGGAGGCAGCAGUGGGGAAUAUUGCACAAUGGGGGAAACCCUGAUGCAGCAACGCCGCGUGAGUGAUGAAGGCCUUCGGGUUGUAAAGCUCUGUCUUCAGGGACGAUAAUGACGGUACCUGAGGAGGAAGCCACGGCUAACUACGUGCCAGCAGCCGCGGUAAUACGUAGGUGGCAAGCGUUGUCCGGAUUUACUGGGCGUAAAGGGAGCGUAGGCGGAUACUUAAGUGGGAUGUGAAAUACCUGGGCUUAACUUGGGUGCUGCAUUCCAAACUGGGUGUCUAGAGUGUUGGAGAGGAAAGUGGAAUUCCUAGUGUAGCGGUGAAAUGCGUAGAGAUUAGGAAGAACACCAGUGGCGAAGGCGA